UACGGAGGGGGCUAGCGUUGUUCGGAAUUACUGGGCGUAAAGGGCUCGUAGGCGGUUUGUCGCGUCGGGAGUGAAAACCCAGGGCUUAACCCUGGGCUGGCUUCCGAUACGGGCAGACUAGAGGUAUGCAGGGGAGAACGGAAUUCCUGGUGUAGCGGUGAAAUGCGCAGAUAUCAGGAGGAACACCAGGUGCGAAGGCGGUCUCUGGGCAUUACCUGACGCUGAGGAGCGAAGAUGUGGGAGGCGAACAGG
rnacentral:rRNA from 1 species